AACACGUGAGUAACCUGCCCUUGACUCUGGGAUAAGUUUGGGAAACUGGGUCUAAUACCGGAUAUGACCGUCUGACGCAUGUCAUGGUGGUGGAAAGCUUUUGUGGUUUUGGAUGGACUCGCGGCCUAUCAGUUUGUUGGUGGGGUAAUGGCCUACCAAGGCGACGACGGGUAGCCGGCCUGAGAGGGUGACCGGCCACACUGGGACUGAGACACGGCCCAGACUCCUACGGGAGGCAGCAGUGGGGAAUAUUGCACAAUGGGCGGAAGCCUGAUGCAGCGACGCCGCGUGAGGGAUGACGGCCUUCGGGUUGUAAACCUCUUUCAGUAGGGAAGAAGCGAAAGUGACGGUACCUGCAGAAGAAGCGCCGGCUAACUACGUGCCAGCAGCCGCGGUAAUACGUAGGGCGCAAGCGUUAUCCGGAAUUAUUGGGCGUAAAGAGCUCGUAGGCGGUUUGUCGCGUCUGCUGUGAAAGACCGGGGCUCAACUCCGGUUCUGCAGUGGGUACGGGCAGACUAGAGUGCAGUAGGGGAGACUGGAAUUCCUGGUGUAGCGGUGAAAUGCGCAGAUAUCAGGAGGAACACCGAUGGCGAAGGCAGGUCUCUGGGCUGUAACUGACGCUGAGGAGCGAAAGCAUGGGGA
rnacentral:rRNA from 1 species